GUCCUCUUUCUCGCCUUAGCGAGUCGGAAUAACUUCUUCUCCCCAUCUUUGUUCCUUAGUUCCUCAUGAUAAAGGAUCUACGUGACAAUAAAGUUUUUGGAGAAGUAAAAGCAGUUGAAUUCCAAAAGCGAGGCUUGCCUCAUGCACACAUCUUGCUUUUUCUUCGGAAUAAAUACCCAAAUGUCGCAGAUAUUGAUGGAAUAAUUUCAGCAGAAUUACCAGAUAAAAAAGUAGAUCCUCAUGAUUAUAAUGUUGUUACAAAUUUCAUGAUGCAUGGCCCUUGUGGUGCUGCUAGAAAAUCUUCUCCUUGCAUGCAGAAUGGUAGAUGUACAAAGCACUUUCCAAAAAAAUUUGUGUCAUCAACCACAAUUGAUGAAGAUGGGUAUCCAAUUUAUAGAAGAAGAGAUGAUGGUAGAACUGCAAAGAGAGUAGGUAUUGAGUUGGAUAAUAGGUAUGUUGUACCACACAAUAGAUUUUUAUUAUUGAAGUAUGGUGCACAUAUUAACGUGGAGUGGUGUAAUCAAUCACGAUCUAUUAAGUACUUAUUUAAGUAUGUUAAUAAAGGAAAUGUUCGUGUUACCGCAGUUUUUUCUCAAAGUGUAAAUAAGGAAGACUCAGGGGUCGUUGAUGAAAUAAAUAUGUAUUUUGAUUGCCGAUACAUAUCACCUUGUGAAGGUGCUUGGAGAAUUUUUAAAUUCCCAAUACACCACAGAGAACCAUCGGUAGAAAGGCUAUCUUUUCACCUGCCAAAUAAUCAAACUGUCAUAUUUUCGGAUGAUGAUCCAAUUGAUGCAGUUGUCAACAGACCAACCGUUAAGGAAUCUAUGAUUUUAAGCUAGUUCGAAGCUAAUAAGACAUUUCCUGAAGGAAGAAAAUUGACUUAGCAGAAUUUCCUCUAAAGUUUGUGUGGAAACAAAACCUGAAAAGAUGGGAAAAAAGAACAUCUGCAUUUUCUAUUGGGAGAAUCUUCUUUGUUCCACCUGGAUCCGGCGAGCAAUAUUACAUUAGAUUAUUGUUGAAUGUCAUUAAAGGUCCAAAGAGCUAUGACGAACUCAAAAGAAUCAACGGUUGUGAUCAUGAGACUUUUAGAGAUGCAUGUUAUGCUUUGGGUUUAUUAGAUGAUGAUAAGGAAUAUGUGGAUGCUAUAAUGGAAGCAAGUAAUUGGGGAAUGACAUCAUAUCUUAGACAAUUAUUUGCUAUGCUACUUUUAUCAAAUUUAAUGUCACGGCGAGAAAGAGUUUGGCAAGCAACAUGGCAUUUACUAUCAGAAGAUAUCCUUCAUGAAGAAAGAACAAUAUUGGAUCACCCAGGUACGUAUAAAAUGCUUGCAAUUUUAAUAUGAUAUGAUACUUCUAAAGGAUGGCUGAUUUUCUUAACUUUAUUGAUUAAUUUUCUUUUUAAUUACUUCAUUCAUAUUAAUCUGAUUGUUCAUUGCUUUAUAUAUAUGUUUUCCAGUUCAUACAAAAUUCAUUCCAAGACUUCAGGUUCCGUAAACAAUAUUUUGUUAUGUUUAUGUCUUUUUACUAUAGUGUCGUGUUUAGACCAUAGGAAUAAUAUUGGUACUGAUUGAUACGCUUUCCAGACAUAAAUACUAAUACACAAUUAAUACAUUGUAUUUAAUGCCCUUAAGUUUCCGGAAAGCCUAUAAUCGCUCUUAUGCAUUCUGCACUUUACUAUUUUUUUUAAAAUAAAAUAAAGCACAAGGUUUGGACUAUCUUAUUACUUCAUAUUCUUUGUACGUUAACAUUUUACAGUUUCGUUAAUCUUAUUAUUAAUUUCAUAUUGCUAAACUAAACUUUAACAUUUAAUUGUAUUUAAUUAUUUUAUAUUUUUAUGUUAUUAUAGAAGUUGAGCUAACAGAUCAUGUAUUGAAAAAUCAUUGUUUGCAAAAGCUUGAAGUUUUUUUGAAAGGUUGUGGAAGAAGUUUUCAGGAUUUUCCAACAAUGCCAAGGCCUGUUUAUAAUACGGAAUAAAUUGACAACAGUAAUAGAUUAAUACGGGAUGAAUUGUGUUAUAAUAAACGCGCUUUGGCGAAGGAACAUCAAUAAUUAGUAAAGAAUUUGACAGAUGAGCAAAAGUCAGUUUAUGAAAAAAUAAUAAGAGCUGUGAAUGAAGACAAGGGUGAAUUUUUCUUUUUAUAUGAUUUUGGAGGAACUGGCAAGACUUUUGUUUGGAGAACUUUGUCUUCUGCCAUAAGAUCUAGAGGAGAUAUUAUGUUAAUUGUUGCAUCUAGUGGGAUUGCAUCUCUGUUCAGCUCAUUCAAGAUUUGUGAUUCCUCUAAAUCUAACUGAAGAUUCAACAUGUAAUAUUAAGCAAGGUACUCCUUUAGCAAAUUUAAUUGUUAAGGCAAAGUUGAUUAUUUGGGAUGAGGCACCCAUGAUGCAUAGAUAUUGUUUUGAAGUUCUUGAUAAAACUUUAAGAGAUAUUCUUAGGUUUAAAGAUGCAUCCAAUUUAGACCGCCCAUUUGGAGGUAAAACAAUUGUUCUUGGUGGUGACUUCAGACAAAUAUUACAUGUCAUUCCAAAAGGUACUAGGCAAGGUAUUGUUAAUGCAUCUCUCAAUUCUUCUUAUUUGUGGCCUCACUGUUAGCUCUUAAAGUUAACAAAGAAUAUGAGAUUGUAAGGUAAUGAAAUAGGGACGCAUCUAGAUGAGUUGAGAGUUUUUUCAGAUUGGAUUUUGGGAAUUGGCGACGGUAUGGUUGGUACUUCUGUUGAUGGCUAUGAAAAGGUCCAAAUACCAGAUGAUCUUUUGAUAAAACAGUCUGAUAAUCUAAUAUCUGCAAUUGUAGAAAGUACAUAUCUCGAUUUCAAAAGUCGUUGCAGUGAUAUAGGAUACCUCCAGCAAAGAGCCAUUCUUGCUCCAACUCUUGAUAUGGUGGAAUCAAUCAACGAAUAUAUGAUUUCGCUUAAUGAAAGUUCUGAGAAAUCAUAUUUGAGUUCCGAUACAAUCUGCAGCUCUGACCAUACUUAUUCAGCAUUGGAACAUAUACACACACCAGAAUUCUUAAAUACUAUUAAAUGUUCAGGAGUUCCAAAUCACGCUCUUACUCUAAAGGUUGGUAUUCCGGUGAUGUUAUUAAGAAAUAUUGACCAGACAGCAGGAUUAUGUAAUGGAACAAGGUUGAUCAUAACCAAACUUGGAAAUCAAGUCAUUGAAGCGAAGGUUUUAUCAGGACAGAUGGCUGGACAGAAAGUAUUUAUUUCAAGAAUGACAUUGACUCUAUCUGAUGCUAGAAUUCCAUUUAAGUUCCAACGAAGACAAUUUCCAAUCGUUGUAUCUUUUGCCAUGACAAAAAACAAAAGUCAAGGACAGUUAUUGUCUCACGUGGGAUUAUUUUGAAGAAACCUGUGUUUACACACGGACAGCUAUAUGUUACUCUUUCCCGGGUGAAAACUAGAAAGGGAUUAAAAAUUUUGGUUUAUGAUGACAAUGGAAAAAUAACUACUGAAGCAAUAAAUGUAGUAUUUAAAGAAGUUUUUUGAAAUUUAGUCUGACACUCGAAAGAUCAUUAAUAUCUUUUUUGAGGUUUAAGUACUACUUUUCUUGCUGAGAUUUAUGAACCAACUGAGAAGUUAGCUGUUGAGAUGAUUCCUCAAACAUGGAAUAGAUUGUUUAGUAACUUCCAUUACAUGGAUUAACAGUAGUUGUUACAUCGCAUUGGUGAAGAAGUACUCAAUGUCAGUUACGCAAGUGGUUUGAAUGUGCAAAAUUAUGAUCAAAGUCACCAUUCUGUUAAUGAUGCCUUCUCCAUUUAGUGCUCGAAUUAUUAAUGUGAUCUCACAGCUGGAAAAAAUUAAUGACAUACGGAAUUUUGGCUACAAUUCCAGCUCAAUAAUUCUGACAGACAAGUGAACUGACUCUAAGACAAAUCAAAGAGUUGAAGAAUAUAGUAACUGAUAGCGGUUCCUCAACAAUGGACUGGGCAUGUAUGAGUGUUAUGCUGCUCUUUUUUCAUAUUAGAACAAUGGUGGACAUGAAGAAUUUUUCCAAUUAAAGAAUAUAUGCACUAUUCAGGUCUGUUAAAGAUGUCAAUAACCAUCCAACUGUUAGACAUGAAGCAACCAAACUGUUGGUUCUCAUAGCAGAUGCAGAACAUAUUACACUUCUUGAAGAUUUUUCCAAUACUAUACAGUCAGUUGUCAUACAAGACGACAUAUUCUCAUAGAGUAUUGACAAAGAUCUCAUGUUUUGGAAAUCUUCAGAGAAUCGGUUAUGUGGAUUGCAACAGAUUAUAAGCUGGAUUUUUCACCAUUCUAUUGAAAAUGAAAGAAAGUACAAAGUGAGGAGAUGCAAAGCAAUGUGAGUAAUGAAGGAUCGGGUAAUUUAGUACCGAUUGUUCCUCGGGAAAACAUGUUUAAGGGCUAUUGCCCAACCUGUUGAAACUUUUUUUGUCAAGUUCUCUUUUAUAAUAAGAUAAUUUACAAUAGAGUCAAAAAGUUUAUUAAAUUCGUCAGCAUUUUUAACUUUAUUG